rnacentral:lncRNA from 1 species
CUUUAACUAGAAGCGAGCAAGUGACUCUCUGCUUGUUUGUGUCUCCUCCUCCCAGCCUCAGUGGGAACCAGCAAACUCUUGCUGAGGGAGCACUGGAGAGAGAGUCUGCUAAGCUUUGAAGAGGUGGCCAGGAUAAAACAGCUCCCUGUGGACGCUACCCAUCUGGAAAAAGACCGAAACUGGAAACACUGUUGGGAAGACGGGCAUCCAAGGUGUCCUAGCUGCUCUGGGAUACAUUCUGACCCAGAAAUCAAGUGUGAGUACUUCAACAAACAAUAUGCAAAUCCCAAAGCAGGAGAGAAUGCUGAAAAUUAUAUGCAUCAUUCACCAAGCUGCACACACAUUUAUGUCACCUGAACAGUAUGUGUAUAUAUGAGUGUUUAAUCCAGAGCACUUUAACAAUUAUCCUAUUUAUUCCAUUGCAUCAAAACACUGAUUUCUUUACAACUAACUGAAAGAAAUGAAAGGC